rnacentral:rRNA from 1 species
GUGCCAGCCGCCGCGGUAAUACGGAGGAUGCAAGCGUUAUCCGGAUUUAUUGGGUUUAAAGGGUGCGCAGGUUGUUUGAUAAGUCAGUGGUGAAAGUCUGUCGCUUAACGGUAGGAUUGCCAUUGAUACUGUUGGACUUGAAUAUGGAUGAGGUAGGCGGAAUGUGUAGUGUAGCGGUGAAAUGCAUAGAUAUUACACAGAACACCGAUUGCGAAGGCAGCUUACUAAUCCAUCAUUGACGCUGAGGCACGAAAGCGUGGGGAUCAAACAGGAUUAGAUACCCUGGUAGUCCACGCCGUAAACGAUGAUCACUCGCUGUUUGCGAUAUACAGUAAGCGGCUAAGCGAAAGCGUUAAGUGAUCCACCUGGGGAGUACGAUCGCAAGGUUGAAACUCAAAGAAAUUGACGG